UGAAUACGAGACGCUAAGGCGUCGAAGUAGUGUAUGUCAUACUUCCAAGAAAAGCUUGCACUGUCAUAGAUAAAAAACGCCUGUACCAUAACCGACACAGGUGGGUAGGUAGAGUAUACUAAGGGGCGCGAGAUAACUCUCUCUAAGGAACUCGGCAAAAUAACUCCGUAACUUCGGGAGAAGGAGUGCCUUAUUCGUAAGGUUGCAAUAACAAGAUCCAAGCAACUGUUUAUCAAAAACACAGGUCUCCGCUAAGUCGUAAGACGAUGUAUGGGGGCUGACGCCUGCCCAGUGCCAGAAGGUUAAAGAAGUUGGUAAGCAAUUGCGAAGCUGAUAACUGAAGCCCUGGUGAACGGCGGCCGUAACAAUAACGGUCCUAAGGUAGCGAAAUUCCUUGUCGGGUAAGUUCCGACCCGCACGAAAGGCGUAAUGAUUUGGAUACUGUCUCGGAGAGGGGCUCGGUGAAAUAGACUUGUCUGUGAAGAUGCGGACUACCUGCACCAGGACAGAAAGACCCUAUGAAGCUUUACUGUAACUUGAAAUUGAAAUUGGACUUUAUUCGCGCAGUAUAGGUGGGAGGCGUUGAUUAUAAUCUUGUGGGAUUAUUGGAGCCAUCAGUGAGAUACCACUCUUGUAAUGUUAGAUUUCUAACUUUGAAUCAUUAUCUGGUCAAAGAACAGUUUCAGGCGGGCAGUUUGACUGGGGCGGUCGCCUCCUAAACGGUAACGGAGGCGUACAAAGGUUUCCUCUGAACGGUUAGAAAUCGUAUCUAGAGUGUAAAGGCAUAAGGAAGCUUGACUGUGAGACCUACAAGUCGAGCAGGGACGAAAGUCGGUCUUAGUGAUCUGACGGUACUGAGUGGAAAGGCCGUCACUCAACGGAUAAAAGUUACUCUAGGAUAACAGGCUGAUCUCCCCCAAGAGUUCACAUCGACGGGGAGGUUUGGCACCUCGAUGUCGGCUCAUCGCAUCCUGGGGCGGUAGUACGUCCCAAGGGUUGGGCUGAUCGCCCAUGAAAGCGGUACGCGAGCUGGGUUCAGAACGUCGUGAGACAGUUCGGUCCAUAUCCGGUGUAGGCGUUAGAAUAUUGAGAGGAGCCUUCUUUAGUACGAGAGGACCGAGAAGGACAUACCUCUGGUGUACCAGUUAUCGUGCCAACGGUAAACGCUGGGUAGCUAUGUAUGGAGUGGAUAACCGCUGAAAGCAUCUAAGUGGGAAGCCCACCUCAAGAUAAGC
rnacentral:rRNA from 1 species